rnacentral:rRNA from 1 species
CCUCCGUGUGGCAGCAGUGAGGAAUAUUGGUCAAUGGCCGGAAGCCUGAACCAGCCAAGCCGCGUGCGGGAUGACGGCGCAGAGGUUCGCAAACUUCUUUUACCGGGGAACAAAACGCCUUACUCGUCCGGCCCUGCAUUUACCCUGUGAAAAAGGAUCGGCUAAUUCCGUGCCAGCAGCCGCGGUAAUACGGAGGAUGCGGGCGUUAUCCGGAUUCAUUGGGUUUAAAGGGUGCGUAGGCCGCCGUUCCACCGUGCUGUGAAAUCUCGGGGCUCAACCCCGCCCGUGCCGCGGGAACUGGGGUGCUUGAGUGCGGCGAAGGCAGGCGGAAUGCGUGGUGUAGCGGUGAAAUGCAUAGAUAUGGCGAAGAACCCCGAUUGCGAAGGCAGCGUGCUGUGGCGGAACUGACGCUGAGGCACGAAAGCGCGGGGAUCGAACAGGAGUAGAUACCCUUGUAGUC